rnacentral:rRNA from 1 species
GGGAGCAGCCCAGAGCCUGAAUCAGUGUGUGUGUUAGUGGAAGCGUCUGGAAAGGCGCGCGAUACAGGGUGACAGCCCCGUACACAAAAAUGCACAUGCUGUGAGCUCGAUGAGUAGGGCGGGACACGUGGUAUCCUGUCUGAAUAUGGGGGGACCAUCCUCCAAGGCUAAAUACUCCUGACUGACCGAUAGUGAACCAGUACCGUGAGGGAAAGGCGAAAAGAACCCCGGCGAGGGGAGUGAAAAAGAACCUGAAACCGUGUACGUACAAGCAGUGGGAGCACGCUUAGGCGUGUGACUGCGUACCUUUUGUAUAAUGGGUCAGCGACUUAUAUUCUGUAGCAAGGUUAACCGAAUAGGGGAGCCGAAGGGAAACCGAGUCUUAACUGGGCGUUAAGUUGCAGGGUAUAGACCCGAAACCCGGUGAUCUAGCCAUGGGCAGGUUGAAGGUUGGGUAACACUAACUGGAGGACCGAACCGACUAAUGUUGAAAAAUUAGCGGAUGACUUGUGGCUGGGGGUGAAAGGCCAAUCAAACCGGGAGAUAGCUGGUUCUCCCCGAAAGCUAUUUAGGUAGCGCCUCGUGAAUUCAUCUCCGGGGGUAGAGCACUGUUUCGGCAAGGGGGUCAUCCCGACUUACCAACCCGAUGCAAAC